ensembl:lncRNA
AUGACAAAAAAAAUGCAGAGGCAUAGACAAGGAAAUUUGCUGAUUUUUAUGUUUUUUGUUAUUUUUUCAUAUGGCGUGGAAAUCCGUGGUCCUUUGAGAAAAGCGAGAGCCAGCUAUUCAAUACCAAAAGACAGGACACAAGACACUGGAAAAAGAGAUACAGGAGACUUCCCUGGAGUAACUGUUCAUGUCUGGCUGGGCUGGAGCAAAGGAUUUCAAGAAUGGGAGCAAAGAGGGAUCUCCUGGAAAACCUGCUGCUUUCCGCUCUCCUCCCCUGGAGAAGUUGAAAAGGAAGAAAACCAUCAUCCUGUUUGUUCUUGUGUCAUGUGCUAUUAUGUUCCCUUACUUCUCCCUGCAGAUAACUUUAGGGAAAUACUUCUCUGCUGAACCUUUGAAAGCCCUCAUGCCAGUGGCCUUUCUCAUCAGAUGUCUGAAGGAGACAGAUUCUGAGGAUCAGUGUCCUGUUGACUGAUGGAGCUUCUACUCCAGGUUCAAGGGCAGCGGUCCUCAGGAGACCCCAGCACUUAACAUCUUCAGUUGGAUAUGACACAUGACUCAA